rnacentral:lncRNA from 1 species
GAAAUAACUAACAAUUACCAUAAAUUUGUUAAUAUAGAGUUCACUAUAGCGCAAGGCCAACUUUAAAAAAUGCAUAAGACGUCCGUAACUUUUUGAUCGAAACUAAGCAGACUGUCAGUAACUUUAUUUUCAGAUGUGGGUAACUUUUGAUUUAAAAUUUUAAGAAUUAUAAUUUCAACAAUUAAAAGACAAUUAACAUCAUAUUUGUAACCUUCACGGCUGUUUAUACUACUCAUUCACC